rnacentral:rRNA from 1 species
UACGUAGGGUGCAAGCGUUGUCCGGAAUUAUUGGGCGUAAAGAGCUCGUAGGCGGUCUGUCACGUCUGCUGUGAAAACUCAGGGCUUAACCCUGAGCUUGCAGUGGGUACGGGCAGACUAGAGUGCGGUAGGGGAGACUGGAAUUCCUGGUGUAGCGGUGAAAUGCGCAGAUAUCAGGAGGAACACCGGUGGCGAAGGCGGGUCUCUGGGCCGUAACUGACGCUGAGGAGCGAAAGCAUGGGGAGCGAACAGG